AUUCAGGAUCACUCUACGUGGGUCACAUUCUUCCAGGAGAGCAAAGAUCAGGAGCUGGGCAAGUUUUUGGAGCUCCUGGGAUGAAGAGGGGGACAGGGAACGCAUGUGUGUGUGCAUGUGUGUAUGUAUAUAUGUGUGCAUGCAUGUGUGUGCAUGCAUGUGUGUAUGUAUGUAUGUGUGCAUGCAUGUGUGUGCAUGUGCAUGUGUGCAUGUGCCUUGUGUUGCAUAAGUGUGCUCUGGUAGCUAGAGCAAUCCAAUUCAAUGUUUUAAGUCUUCCUUUGUGUAAACAGUACAGAGAGGCCACCUCCCCUUGUCACAGUCUCUGUGAUUAUAAAACAUGAAUUUUUGAUAAGUUCAGCUUUCUGGGAAGGCAGGCAAAUUUGGAGCCAAAGGACUGUCUUGGAACAUGUGUGGUGUUAUCUUGGUUCAUAUCAAGUCCAGAGCUGACUGAAGGCCUCAGCAUCUCUCAGCUCUGUGGGAAGGGCCAAGUGAGUCCUGGGGUCCCUGCUCAGUGCUGUUGUGAAGUUGCGCGGCAGCGGUCUUCUGAAAGACGAUUCUGUGUUAUCAUUGUUACUUCAUGGUUUUUUAAAAAAAUGUAUCUGCUCUAUGUUUGGAAAUAAAAAGCUCUAUUUUGGUCUAUG
rnacentral:lncRNA from 1 species